rnacentral:lncRNA from 1 species
GAAUUAUAAGCUUUUACUGUAUAUUGAUUAUAGAAAAUAGUCUACUGUCAGGGUACAUAAACCCCUAAAGGCGUAAAUUAAGAUGGGUAUUAGUACACGAGGGAAUCAAACCUUUACAUAUGCACACACAGUGAUGACAAUACUGUAAGGAAAAGUUAAGUACACCAUUAUAUAAAAAUAAAAAUUAGGGGGAAAAUAAAAAGAAGAAAAAAGGAAGAAAAAUGCAAAAAAAAAUGUGAUUGUUUAUUCAGCCUACAACCCCAGCAGUGACAGUAUACAGUGUUGACCAAGUGUGUGUGUGUGUGUGUGUGUGUGUGAGGAUGGGUGAGGAUAGAGGGGAGAAGGGCCAUACAGUCAGCUGCUCCAGCAGUGGCAACAAUUCUAGCAACAUACGAUGACGGGCAAAUAACGUGGUGUUUAGAAGUGAUAAUCGUUUUUUCUCUUCAAACGUUUAAGGGAACUGUUAUUCAGCUGUGCAGCUAGUGUAAUAUCGUCGCUAAAGACACACAACAACAACAACAGCAGUGCUAACGAGGCUGACAAUGAUGGUUGCAGUGGUGAUGGUGGUGGUGGCAAUAACACAUAUUUGAAAAGCGAGGGGGGAAGCUGAAAGGCCAGACAUGGUGCAAUUUUUCGGGAAUAAUAAUAAUAAUAAUAAUCUUUUCUACUACAGACAAGAGGCCUGAAAUUUGUGGGGAGGGGGCCAGUCGAUUUGAUCAACCCCACUAUGCAACUGGUACUUAAUUUAUCGACACUGAAAGGAUGAAAGGCAAAGUCGACCUCGGCGGAAUUUGAACUCAGAACCCGAAGACAGACGAAAUGCCACUAAGGAUUUUGCCCAGCAUGCUAACGAUUGUGCCAGCUCACCACCUUAAUAAUAAUAAUAGAUAAAUCAUCAUCGCUUGGAACUGCAAGAAUUCUCUGCAAGGUUCUUGAAGCAUGAUCAGUAAACCAGUGUCACCUUAGUCCAGUGGUUGUGGACAGCUGACACUUUCCAUCAUACCCAGCAAAAUGAAACUGGAGAGUUUUUCUUCAUGAUAUAAUAAACAGUGGUUAUUUUCUAACAUAAGCACAAGGAAACAAAUUUUGGCAAGGAAGGAAGGAAGGAAGAAUUUAGUUGAUUGAAUUCCAACACCCACCCUCUCAAUUCUUGAUUGGUUGAUGGUAAUUAUAUGCUUUUUUAAUCAGACCUCGGAAUGAUGAGAAAGAGAGAGAGAGAGAGAGAGAGAGAGAGGCCCUGACAGGAUUUGAAAUUAAAAUUCCUGCCAAAGCCAAAUAACAGCAACAACACCAUUAAUACACAAACUCUUGACAAAAAAAGAAAAAAAAGGAUUUAAGGGAGAGUAAAAAGUAAGGAUCAAGAUUAACCCCUUAUGAAACAUUAUUAGCAUCUUGGUCUUUCAGUUCUGUGUUAAUAUUUAUACAGGCUUCGACAUUAAUCUAAAAUAUCUUUGGCAGUGGUGGAAUGUCCAGAGUAGAAAGACUGGAAUUGCAGUGGCAGCAGUGGUAGUGGUGGUGGUGGUGGUGGUGAAGGUGGUGAGGGAGCAAGGGUUAGCAGUGAUGACAGUGUGUGGGUGUGUGUGUGUGGUCAGGGAGCAGUGUAGAGGGAUAGCAGGGGUAAGUGGUGGUGGCUGUCUGAUUAGGGAGCACAGUGGCCUCUUGGGACUAAGGGGGGGUGGUUGAUAGGGGGUUAGUGUAAGCUUGCAGUAAGCUUUAAUAGAUUAUUAAUACAAGUAUGUUAUUGUCGAAAAGUAGGUGGUGGCGGUGGUGAAGGCGGUGGCAGCAGUGGUGGUGGUGGUGGUUGUGACAGCAGUGAUGGUGGUGGUGGUGGGGGUGGUGGAGGUAAAGGAGUUAGUCCUCCUGAACAAUGCUGAUAUGGUGUUGGUGGUGUUAGUGGCGGUGGCGGUGAGCAGUGGAAGUGGAGGAUCUUAUUCCACCUGUACAAAGUUAAUGUGGUGGUGGUGGUGGUGGUGGUGGUGGUAGCAGUGUUGAGGCAGCAGUGACACAAAAAUAUACAAAGAAAUAACAAUAAUGACUAAUGGUAAGUUCAAUGGUGCGGUGAUGAGGGUGGUGGUGGUGGUGGUGGUUCAUAAAUGCUACCAGUAAGAGGGAGAGAAUAACGAUGAUGGUGGUGAUGAUGAUGAUGAUGAUGAUGAUGAUGGCAGAAGUUAUUCCAUGCUAAAGGAAGGGAUGAUAAAACGAAAAAAAAAAAAAGAAAAGAUAAAGAAAAGAAAAAAACAAACAUAAAAGCAAAAACCAAAUACUGUUAAUAAAAAAAAAAUAAUUACAAUAAUUGUCAUUUUGUCAUAGCCAAAAAGCCAGAAAUUU